UACAGGGGGGGCAAGCGUUGUUCGGAAUUACUGGGCGUAAAGGGCUCGUAGGUGGCCAACUAAGUCAGACGUGAAAUCCCUCAGCUUAACUGGGGAACUGCGUCUGAUACUGGAUGGCUUGAGUUUGGGAGAGGGAUGCGGAACUCCAGGUGUAGCGGUGAAAUGCGUAGAUAUCAGGAGGAACACCGGUGGCGAAGGCGGAUCUCUGGGCCUUACCUGACGCUGAGGCGCGAAAGCUAGGGGAGCGAACAGG
rnacentral:rRNA from 1 species